GUGAUUGCUUUGGUAGCACAUACACUAAAACUGGAACGAUACAGAGAAGAUUAGCAUGGCCCUUGCGCAAGGAUGACAUGCUAAUUCAGUGGAGUAUUCCAUUUUUAA